GACCACACGAAUACAGUUUAAUCGCCAUGGAGCCAAAGUCUUUACACAGUCAGUUUCAUGCGAAUGGGCUCCAUGGGAUUCCUAUCUGGGGUAUAACAUAGACAGGUAAAACUACCGAACACCGGCCGUUCGUGUACUUCCACCGAACAAGAAGGGAGGUCGGCGGCUUCAGCGGUGUUCGCGUAAAACUGUGCCCGAUUUUAGUUCCAUGAAUUAAG